rnacentral:lncRNA from 1 species
UCGGUGGUGGUGGCCAUUAUUGGUGGUGAAGAUGCGCAGCAGCAGCAUGCAGAGAUUGUGUAAGAAGAAAACAGAAGAAAGCCUAGGAGAGAAUCCUGAGGAAAACCAAAGAUUUAAGGGAUGAGCAAAAGAGAAAUCUGCACAGUAACUCAUAAAGAGUGGUCGAAGAGGUAAAGAGAAAACAAGAGCAUAUGGUGUCAUACAAGCCACAUUGUCUCUAUGGUGGUGCCUUGGGUCUGCAUUUCAGCCAGCACAAAGGAGAAAGAAGAAGGUAUAGACACAUCACUUUAUUUUAAUGACAAGAUCCAGGAGUUGUUCUCGUCACUGUCACUCACAUCCCAUUGGCCAAAACUUAAUCACAUGGUCAUAUGCAGCUGCAAUGUGACAGGAAAUGUAGUCUUUUUUCAGAAUGACUGUUACCCUAGGUAAAAUUUGGAGAUAUUCUUUCUGUGAGAGAAAAAGAGAGUACAGCUAAUGGGAGAUAACUAGUGGCUACUGUCAUAUCACUUGACGUCUUUCAAAUCUUUGAUGCUGAUCAAUCUCUGCAAUUCCCCCAGUGUGCAGUUGUACUUUUGGUAAGAAGAGGAAGCUCAAGAUUUGACUUUUUCUCCCAUAAUGACCCUCAUUUUGGGGGUCAGAAAGGAAGCAUGGACAUUCACUCAUCUCUAUAUGAAGGAAAUGUGGAAACAAUCACAGGAUGCUUUUACAGACCUAUAAGUGCCAUUGUGACAGAAUUAGGCCCGCAAAUCCAAUUGUCACCUAAACUGCAUGCAUCCCAGAUUCUGCCAGAUACAUCACAGUGACAUUCUGCAUCGUGUUCAUUUAUAUUCAGGAGCCAAUACUCCCUGAAAGAUCUGGCUAUUUCCCAUCUCCCACUACACAGUUACCAUGGUAAAUAACCAAAGAUACUUCUGGAGAAGGCUGGGAGAAAGAUUUACAGGAAGUACUUCUGAUGAUAUCACAAGGUCCUUCUUCAGGUUACCUGGCUUCCUCUAUAUUCAAUGUUUGGAAAUAAACUCAAGUUUCAGAAUUAAAGAUGCUGUCCCUCCCAAGGAAAUGCACAUGUGUUGAGGAUAGUUAGGAGACUGUUUACUCUAGAAAGGCACACAAGAAGGAAGUGAGAUUGGGUAUUGA